CCUCCGCCCCGCGGCCUCCACGCGCCCUGGGCCCGGCGCUGCGAGGGCGCGGCGGGAGGGGGCGCCACGCGGAACAGCCGCUGCCCGGGCCCGACGCGCUCACCCUCCAGGGCCUCGAAGAUCGCCUGCGCCAUCUUGGAGCUGCCGCCGCCCGGGGAGUCGGAGCCGGGGCUACGCAAGCAUUGUGAGAACCGCGGCGGGGUCUGAGCCGCCAGGGGGCGCCCAGGAGCCAACGCCGAAGCCCCUGCCCCGGAAACAGCUUUCCCCGCUGUCCGGCCGGAGACCCAGUCCCCUCGUAUUUCCAAUUCUACACAGACCCUCGUCCGGCGCUCGCACAUCACCUCCCAGCGCUGACAACGACACCUGUUCUGCAACACGCACCCCAUUAUCGCUGCACACAGUAUUCUCCAACGUUGCAACAUCAACCCGCCUCACUGAGAUUGUCUGUGACGAGGACACCCAUACCUUGAAAUUGUGCCACGCAGAUUGGAAAGCAGCUUUCUCGAACGAUAUGUUCGAUUCCCUCAGGGUUCUUCUUAACCCCAAUUUCCAGCUUGCGGGGGGGGGAACCUCCAUUCCCAUUCACACAUCUCUCCACCGUGAUUUUCUGAGACCCAUUUCUUCUUUCUCGACCCUAUUCCCAUUUCAGCUAUUCCUAGCUCAAGCUCAUAGGGAUCCACCCCCAACUUCAUGUCCUCUUUUUUACAUUAUUUUGUUUUGUGUGUAUAUGGACAUACAUGGCAUGUAUCUACACACAGACAUACAACAAAACAGGUGUGGAGAUCAGAGGUCAACGUUUAGGAAUCGAUUCCCUUCCCUCCGUCAUGUGAGACCCAGGCACUGAACUCAGUCUCUGCGACAAGUACUUUUUACCAACUGAGCCAUUUCUUAGGGCUCUUGUUUUGUUUAUAAUCCACGAAGUCCAAUUUGAACUGCCGGUGUAUUAUAUUGAUUGAUGUGGGGUCAUCUACUGGAACAUGGUUUAUCAGGGACUACAUAUACCCCUAGAGGAAACUGACUUUCCAUCCCAAGACAACCCUCAGUGGGGAUUUGUGAGCUCCUCACCCAUGCGUUCUGGAAUGAUGACUGGCUUGAUCCUGUGCAGGUGGAGAAAGCUAUAGCUGGUCUGAGUUGGGAUUGGAGAAUGGUGAAGCAGUUAAGAGCAUUUGUUCAUGGAGAAGACCCAGGUUCCAUUCCAAGCACUAUUGUGGUUCACAGUCUUCCAUCACUUCAGUUCCAGGGGAACCAACAUCUCUUGGUCUCCAGAGCACUGCUGGCAUGUAGCACACAGCUAUACAUGCACAUAAAACUCCCACACACAAAGUAAAAGUGCAGAUAUAAUUUUUAAAAAAUUCACUUGUUUGUUGAGCACCUCCUAUAUGCCAGACAUUGUUCUAGAUUCUAGAGACAUAGCCAAGACCAAAAAAAAAAAAUGCCUUUAGUCAUAAUCCAUCAGAAAAGAUGGGCCAUAGACAAGGAAGUAAAUGUAAAUUGAGGAGAGACAGGAGCCAUGGCUUCAAAUAACUUUUGUUCUGGUACAAAGAGGAGCUAUGUUAGUCAGGGUGGUUGGUCAGGAAGAGGUAGAUAAGCUAAGCCUCUCUGAAAAGGUAGAUAAGCUAAGAAACAGUGGUGCCCGCUCUUGGAAAGGGUAAUGGACACUGGAGAGACUAGUAAGUACAAAAGCUCUUCUGAGGUCAAAAUUAAAGGCCAAGGGUGGGGUGGAGCUAAAGUAGAUCACUUGUUUAGCAUUCAUUCACCAGGCUCUGUAUGCAGCCCCGCCCUCUUCUAGCUACACACCCACCGGGCAGCUGAGACUAUUGAGAAAGGGUUUCUCUGUGUAGCCCCGACUGUCCCGGAACUCACUCUGUAGACCAGGCUGGCCUCAAACUCAGAAAUCCGCCUGCCUCUGCCUCCCAAAUGCUGGGAUUAAAGGUGUGCGCCACCACGCCCAGCUGGCAGCUGAGAUUAUUAAGUGAGACUUAGGUUUUGUUCUGAGACUGACAGACAGAAAAGGGCUCCGUGAACACUAGGCAACACAUCCACGACAUCUCUCUAAUACUCCUCACGCAGGGGUGCAUGCACAUCUGCUCUGUGUGCUGUUCUGUGAACUGCCCCCGAAGGGCUGUUUUUCUGUCCUUCCUGGAACAAUAGGAACCUGUCUCCUUGCCUCACCUGAGAAAUAUUCCAUGACCUGGCAGGACAGAACAGAACAGAACCCAGCCUCACCAUUCUAAAUUCCCACACUUCCUGGCACUACCCCCAUGUUAGCAGUUAGCUCUCUUUUUUCUCACCCAUCAAGCUGGGUAGGCACUGCAUCUAUUCUGGUUGGACCUCAAGGCUUGACCCAGAAGCCAGCAGGGAAAAGCUUGACUGAUGAACUGUUGGAUGGGACAGAUCAAUAAGGCUUCAGGGAUGCUAAUCCCUAACACAGGCGGAUUGCCCCAGGCAGGUGGCACCCUCCACAAACUUUCCAUUCAUUACCACUGUCCCCUUCCUCUAUCACAGUCCCUAUCAGUCCCAUGUCCUAGUCCCUCUAGGUUACCUGGUUGGCACUGAACAUCUGAAGCAACUAAUGUAGUAACUCCAGGUACAGGGCCAACUAGGGGAAAGGAAAAGAUUGAGAAACCUCUAACAAUGAACUUGACAGUGAGCACUCCAGUUACCAGCAGAAUGUAAACGACUCUGACAGUACUUAAAACUAGAUCCCAGGUUAAGGCAGAAUGUGAAUGUUUGAGAAGCUAGGCUACAUCCUUACAUUGUGGUGUCUGUAGGUGGUAGCAAGGCACUAGUUACAGACAGAACUGAGAGUUCAUCUUCACCCUUCAGCCCCCAGCCCAUGAUACCCAGAGGGCCUAGACCUAGUAAUCAGAAUGUCUCUGUAUGUGGGGGCUGGGGAUAUAGGCGAAUUGGUGGUUGCUUGGCAGGCAGGAAGCUCCAGGUGGAUCCUCAGCACGGUGUAAGUAAAUGAUCGAGGUGGUGUGCCUGUGACCUCAGCAGUGGGCAGGUGGAUGCAGGGAAACCAUUCAUUCUCAGCCACAGAGUCAGUUUGAGCUAGAGAAGACCUUGGUUGGAGGGGACAGGGGUGAGGCUGACAGGAUGGUUCAGCGAGUGAAGAAGAGACCUGCCACGCGGUGGCAGGAUCUCAUUAUGUACUUCUGGCUGGCCUGGAACUCAAACCCAGAGCUCCUACUGCCUCUCUGUCUCCUCAGUGCUCAGAUUAAAGGUAUAUACCACAA